CGGCGUAAAGAGUGGUUAUGGAAAACAAGCACUAAAGCCAAAGAGCCCUCAGGCCGUUAUACGCACCCGGGGCCUCGAACCACUAUCACGAAAGUAGCUUUACCCUCGCCCACCAGAACCCACGAGAGCUGGGACACAAACUGGGAUUAGAUACCCCACUAUGCCCCGCCGUAAACUUAGAUAUAUUAGUACAACAAAUAUCCGCCCGGGAACUACGAGCGCCAGCUUAAAACCCAAAGGACUUGGCGGUGCUUCAGACCCCCCUAGAGGAGCCUGUUCUAGAACCGAUAACCCCCGUUCAACCUCACCACUCCUUGCCCCUCCCGCCUAUAUACCACCGUCGCCAGCUUACCCUGUGAAGGUACUACAGUAAGCAGAAUGAGCAUUCCUCAGAACGUCAGGUCGAGGUGUAGCGUACGGAGUGGGAUAGAAAUGGGCUACAUUAUCUGAAACAGAUUAUUUACGAAAGGCCGCCUGAAAUCAAGCACCCGAAGGUGGAUUUAGCAGUAAAAAGGGAAUAGAGUGCCCUUUUGAAGUUGGCUCUGAAGCGCGCACAUACCGCCCGUCACUCUCCCCAGCGACC
rnacentral:rRNA from 2 species